rnacentral:misc_RNA from 1 species
GCAAAAAGAACCCAAUAAUAUUUUAAAAGUAUAAUACCCCUAUCUAUUUUCCAAAUUAUAAUUAUAUGAUUUCAAUGGCAAUCCAGUAACAAAGAAUAGAAUGAAACAGACAAAAACCGGCAUCAAAAUUAUAGAAUAUGAAGCAAAUUUGAAAACCCAAAACACUUUUAUGUGAAUCCAAGAUGAACGAUUCACUUUAAAAAUAUGCAGAUAACAUUCUGAGGAUGCCUGAUGAGAAUCA